GUGUUUUUAACAGCAACACAUGUACUAAAAUUGGAAUGAUACAGAGAAAGAUUAGCAUGGCCCCUCUACAAGGCCUGUACAUUUAUGAAACAGUUUUUUAUAUUUAU